UGGGGAAUUUUGCGCAAUGGGCGAAAGCCUGACGCAGCAACGCCGCGUGAGUGAAGAAGGCCCUUGGGUCGUAAAGCUCUUUUCUGAGGGAAGAGACCAGACGGUACCUCAGGAAUAAGCACCGGCUAACUCCGUGCCAGCAGCCGCGGUAAUACGGAGGGUGCAAGCGUUGUUCGGAUUUACUGGGCGUAAAGGGCGUGUAGGCGGAUGCGUAAGCUGGAGGUGAAAGCCCCUGAGCUUAACUUGGGAACUGCUUCCAGAACUGCGCAUCUUGAGAGAGUCAGAGGCAGGUGGAAUUCCUGGUGUAGAGGUGAAAUUCGUAGAGAUCAGGAGGAACACCGGUGGCGAAGGCGGCCUGCUGGGACUUUUCUGACGCUGAGGCGCGAAAGCGUGGGGAGCAAACAGGAUUAGAUACCCCGGUAGUCCACGCUGUAAACGAUGAGCACUCGAUGUGCGGGGUACGACCCCUCGCGUGUCACAGCUAACGCAUUAAGUGCUCCGCCUGGGGACUACGGUCGCAAGACUA
rnacentral:rRNA from 1 species